rnacentral:RNase_P_RNA from 1 species
CGAGUAGGCUGAGCGGUCGCGACAUCCCGCGAGAUUUCGCGAGGUGUCGAGGAAAGUCCGGGCUCCAUAGGGCAACGGUGCUUCGUAACACGAAGGCGGGGCGACCCGACGGAAAGUGGCACAGAAAAAUACACCGCCGAUGGCGGACGGGGCGACCCAUCCGCACAGGCAAGGGUGAAAAGGUGCGGUAAGAGCGCACCAGCGGUCUGGAGACAGGUCGGCUGGCUAAACCCCACCGGGAGCAAUUCCAAAUAGGGGAGCGAUGGCGUGGCCCGCGUCGCUCUCGGGUAGGAAGCUUGAGGCGCGUGGCGACGCGCGCCCCAGAUGAAUGGCCGCCUCGGGACGCCUCUGGGCGUCCUAGACAGAACUCGGCUUACAGGCCUGCUCGCCUA